AAAAGAACUUUGAAGAGAGAGUUCAAGAGGGCGUGAAACCGCUGAGAAGGAAACGGAUAGAGUUGACGAAACUCGGCGGCGUUCAUCCGAUCCGCUUAGCGGCGCUGUGGCUUUGCGCCUCGAUGAGGUCGAAGUCGCGGAGAGCUGUUGAGUGCGUGACCGGUGUAUUUGCCGUCGGUAUGCGCCGAGAGUCUGGCUGUCGUGUGCUGAAGCGUACGUAGUGGACCCGCUCUUCGGAGCGUGGAAACCUCCGCACGCAAAGGCGUAUCGACGGUCAGAUUUUACGGUGCGCGCCUACGUUUUGGCGCAGCGGUUGCCGCGAGGCUAGCGUGUCUAUUGAGCGGUCGCGUGCGACUUGCUUAUAGGUGCUGCCGGUCGGCGGUGAUGCGGCUGCGUGGUGGUGCGUAUCUCGGUGUAAAAGUCGACCACCUAUCCGACCCGUCUUGAAACACGGACCAAGGAGUCUAGCAUAUGCGCGAGUCAUUGGGUGGUAAACCUAAAGGCGUAAUGAAAGUAAAGGUCGUCUUGAUACGGCUGAUAUGGGAUCCGCGUGGUUGCGAUCGCGCGGCGCACCAUAGCCCCGUCCUCGUUGCUUGCAAUAGGGCGGAGGAGGAGCGCAUACGCUGGGACCCGAAAGAUGGUGAACUAUGCCUGAGCAGGAUGAAGCCAGAGAAGACUCUGGUGGAGGUCCGAAGCGGUUCUGACGUGCAAAUCGAUCGUCUGACUGGGUAUAGGGCGAAA
rnacentral:rRNA from 1 species